UCAUCUUCUACACCAACAUGCUCUCUGUAGCUCUGCUGCUGCUGCUGGCUGCUGCAUCCUGUGUGAAGUGUGAACAGCUGACCCAACCAGUCUCUGUGACUCUGCAGCCAGGUCAACGUCUGACCAUCAGAUGUCAGGUCUCUUACUCUAUGAGCAGCUACUACACAGCUUGGAUCAGACAGCCUGCUGGGAAAGGACUGGAGUGGAUUGGCAGAGACACAGAUUUCAAAGAUUCAUUAAAAAACAAAUUUGGAGGUAGUUUAGACUCCUCCAGUAAAACAGCAACUCUGAACGGACAGAAUAUGCAGCCUGAAGACUCUGCUGUGUAUUACUGUGCCAGACAGGCACAGUGA